rnacentral:lncRNA from 1 species
UUACUGCUUUUUUUAUUGUCUAUGGCAUAAUAAUUAUAAUGCCACAAUUAGAAGAUAAUGAAUUUGAGUGAGAAUAUGAACACAGUUUUUAAGAAACACAUUUGUUUGGGUCAUCCAAGCACUGAUCUAUUGUGUCUUCCAUUUAUCUAUUCUUCUAUCUAUUCAUCUAAUAUUUUCAGCCCUCGUUAUCUCAGCAUUUAUAUUUUCCUGGCAAAUGACUUUGAUGACAGAAACAGGAGCAGAAGUCUACAGCACUUUGGAAGAAAACACAUGAUAAACCCACUUUCAGGAGUUUUAGGAAGAUGGCAGAGGAAGGAGGAUCCUGAGCUCACCUCAUUCCAUGAACAGACCAAGAUAACAACUGCAUUUAUGCAACUAACUCUGACAAUAAGCUGAAGAAUGGCAAAACAGAAUUUCCACAACGAAUCAUAGAAUGAAGGCCACAUAGAAACGGGUAGGAAUGGUGGAGACACAUUUGGGAGCCAAAUUCCCUGUGCAACUAGCCCAAACUAGAGGGACACCAUAAGCACAGAGAAGCAGGAGGAUCAGACCCCACACCAGACACCCCUAGCACUGGGGACUUGGACCACAAAGACAAGUUUCCCUAACAUCUGGCUUUGAAAACCAGUGGGGCUUAACCCUAGAAGCUUUAAAAAUCAGUAGGGCUUAACUCUGGGAGAGUUGGAAGGUGACAGGAAAUUGAGCCUCUGCCCUCAGAAAGCCCACCAACUAAAUAGCUCAGCUAAAAUACAGCACAGAAGCUGAGGUUUGAAAAGGAUUCGGAGUAUAUGUGAAGGUAGAUCUAUUGACUAAUCUUAGAACUUCUUGCAGAAGGGCAGGGAUCUGUAGGAGAUUUCUCCAAAAACAAAGUGCUGAUGGGCACCAUUUUUCUUCCUCUUUCCCGCCUAGAUAGCCAGACGUUUGAAAGAACCAGUGCUAACACUCCUCAUCUACUUUGCUAGGACUGUGUGCCCUGUCCCAGAGUUCCCUUGCAAACCUGCCCCAUCCAACCCACCCACCUUGGCAGACCAGACAUCAAUCCCAAGUGGCUCCGGCAGGAGGGUAUAUGCAGCUCACCCACAGGACACUGUUAGAAUGCCUGGUUCUGGUGACAGGGAAGACUGUGCUACAG